CAUACAGCUGCAGCUAACCAGGCUGAUGUCAUCAGUCAACAAUUGAUACAACUGCUUCCCAAAUCAAAACAUUGCUGUAGGAUGGUGUCUGUGUGCAAAGUGUGCAGGGAUUUCACCAAAUCCACAAUGGUUAGACGUGACUCACUUGCGACAGGGAAGCAAAUAGCUGAACCCCAUACUGAAGAGUUAGGGGAACCAGGAACUCCAGUAUCCGCUGCCUUAGGAUCUAAAUGAGCACACACAUUUUUCAUACAUAUUCAAGGCUGAACAGAAGAAACUAUGCAAACUUUAUUACAGGAUUAACAAACACAUAUGGGAUAAAUUAGUACAGAUCUGUGAAAGUAACACUUCUGAUGGCAUAAAAGGCAGAAAACUUGUUCUUAUGUAACACACACCUUUGUGCUUUUGAAGUAGACGGAGGUAGAAGAGGGUCUGCUGCUCUGAGCAGAGUCAGAUACACGCCUCUGAAGCUCCUCCCUCAUGACCACACCCCACAACAGCGCCAUGCUACUGAGCAUGUGUGGCAGUUCUUCGAUCACAGCGUUACGUGCGUUACGGACAUCCACAGGAUCACAAGCGACCAAGGACUGACAGAGAGACAGAGGGAGGAUACAGGGCAUUGACAUGAUUAUAGAAACAGGAAGUGCUUAUCUGUGGGUUUAGUGUGUGUCCUCACCCUCUUGUUAUCCAGUAGACAAUGGUGUGUGAUGGAGGUCAGGCCUUCUAGCAGAGUCAGAGGAUAGUCUGGGGCAAUGUUUUCCCGCCUACCACUCAAGCUGUUCAGAAGACAGAAAAAUACAUUAAGCAUUCCAUUUAAAAAAAGGACAGAAUGCUUUUUCUGUUUUUACUUGUGCUAAGUGUACCUUUGAUUUGUUUUCCCUCCAUCAUGCUCAUAAAGCUUGACCAGCUCAUCUAAGUUCCUACAGAUCUGGCUGAUGAGGGGAGCCACGAUGAUACCUAAUGAGCGUCCCAGGUAUGGCAGAGAGGAGACCAGCAGUGACACCCAGUGGGGGUGCAUGGCAUAGCCGUACUGCGGCUGCAGAGCCCUGGCUGCAGCAGACACAAACAUCCCUUGUGCGGUGAUGGGGUGGCUCUGGACGUACUGCACUGCCUUGAUGGACUGCUGGAAAAGGACAGCGGUUUGCCACUCACGGGUAAGAGUGGUGCUUGUAGUCGGGGUUUCACGAAGUUCCCCAGAGUGGCCAGCAGCUCCACCUGACCCUGCUGCUGAGACAGCCCCACCCGGCCACACAUGGUACUCCAGGACUAUGAGAGCCUGGAGGAGUUUCAGUAACUCCAUUUGUAAGGUGUACUGUUCCUGCCCCCCUCCUGCUCCCACAUUCACCAGACUCUCCUCUGACAGCCCCCCCUGCUCAUCCAGCACCUCCACACCCUUGGCUGGUCCCUUGUCUGUUCCCUUUUGGCUGACAUACAUAGAUGCAGAAAGCGUAAGCAGAGCGUACUGCUGCACCUUACAUCCUGAGAGAAGUCUGCGAAUGGGCUCCAAACUCGCCCCACUGCCCUGUUGCCGGGACGCCAUGCAGCCAAGCUGGUUCACUAUGCGAGUCAGCACCUCAACACUCUUCACCUGAACCUCCCUGUUCCCCUGCAAGUCAAGAGGACCCAGACAUAGAUGUGAAGGGUAAUGAGAACGCAGGAAUCGCAGACACAAGGACAACAGGAGUUCAAUGAGCAGGGAAGGGGGCGAAGAUGGGGAUGAGGAUGGGGAGAGAAGGCUGCCAUAGAAGCCUUUACCAUCCUGAGCCUGUUGGUGCCGCUGCAGGAGGUUGGAGACUAAGUUCAAAUGUGCAGCGGAGCUUGUGUCCAGAGAAGUGGAGGAGAGAGCAUCCACCAGGGGGCACUCAGCACUGCUUCUCAGAAGGCUGUCUAACAGAGCCAGGCCUUGUAGAAGAUGUCGCCAGCCGCCCGCUGCAGGAUACAGCAGCAUAUGGCGAAACAGAGAGUCGAUAGCCUCUCUCCUCUCUCGCUCUUGUUUCAUCAGGCGAGACCUGGCAAUGGCCUCCAGCUCUAAAUCUUCCUCAUCCUCACUUGACAGUGAAUCGGACGCCUGCGUGCGCUCAGACUCUGCCCUCCGCAGGCCGUUAACCACACCUCCUUCCUCAGUAAUACGGUAGGGGGCAGAGCCUGAGCUGGAGUUCUCAGUGGAUACCUGAGCGCCGCUAGUGUCCGCUGACUCAGUGUGUUCACUCUCAGCUUCCUCUUCUUCCUCUGCCUGUUUAUCGUCGUCCUCCUCCGUCUCUUCACUCUCACUCCUAGAAACAGCCAAGGUGUCUGGUAGAUGCAUCGACUCAGCACCGCUAUCUAGCUCCGUCCACAGCGCCUCUCGGUCCACAAUGUUUAUCAGGUUCAAGGUGGUGACCUCUGUUGCCAUGGCAUCUGCAGACGUCCCUAAACUUUUGGUGGAGCUUCGACUUCUGUUUCCUGAAACCUUCAGGUCACCUUAAAGACACAAAAAGAAAUGUAAACAAAAUGUAAUCCACUACACAACAUCUACAAUACAUGAUGACAAAUGGACUUACCAGCAGCAAGGCUCUGUUUGAUGCUCUGAAUCGAGCAGCGCUGAGUGGAUGGGUGAAGCAGCAGCAGGAGAAUAGGUUCAAGGAUUCGAAUCACAUCAUUGAGGGACAGAGCCCUGACCAGCCAGCACUGAGCUGCUGCACUUACUGAGCCGUCUGUACAGCUGAGACUGUCCACCACAACACACAGAGACCUGAGGGAGACAGUUCAACAGGCAGGUUUAGGAAAGAUCGAAACACACAUCCUUUAAAAAUAGAGCUACUGUAGUUCUUUCAAGGUUUUUAUAACUCAUUGACUGACUGACUGACUGACUGACUGACUGACUGACUGACUGACUGACUGACUGACUGACUGACUGACUGACUGACUGACUGACGCUAAAUUUCAAUGAGCUUGUAUUUUUUAUUUAUUUUUUUACCAGUGGUGGAACUUUUCAUACCUGGAAGGUACACUAAUUCACACGGCGCAGCUCUUAACUUCUGACUCAGGAGUUACUGAGACAGCUUCAGCCCAGAGUUAAAAUGUUGACAGGCCCACUGCCCUCACUUAUCAAGAGGUAAGUGUGGGAUAGGAAGAGAA